GGCGAAUACAACCAUGCAUUGUGAACGCCAUUUUCCUCAGCGCUUGUCUAUAAUUUUGCUCAUUCUUUUUCCGGUGGUCGAGUCGUACGGAUGUGCUUCUAAUUUUAUUAGUGGGAGAAAAUCUAUAGGAUACAUAACUGAGGAAAUUGUGUGUUUGUGUGUAAGGUGAAAAUAUAUAGUAGACAACAUGGACGGUGGUAUAAAAGUUGAAGGAGUCAAUGGUGCUACUCCGUUGCCACAAAGAGCUCAGAAGAAUAUGCCACAAGGUAAUAAAAAGCCCAUUAUGAAUGCUCAGCAGCAAAAACAGAAUGAUGGUGCUGAUGGCGCACCAGCAGAGAAAAAACCACGUUUUAACCAGAAUGGUCCUAAUCAAAACCAAGGUGGUAAUCAAAAUAAAAAUUUCGGAAAUCAGAACCGAGGUUUUGGUAAUCGCAAUAAUAAUCGUAACCAACAAAAUCAGAAUCGUGGUAACCAGAAUCAGAACCAAGGAAACUCACAAAAUCAGAAUCAGCAGAAUCAGAACAAACAAAAUCAGCCAAAUCAACAAAAACAACCAGAUGUGAAGCCGGCAGGUGAUGGCAACCAGGCAGCAAUUAAAAAGGAUGUUGGUCCAGGACCGCAACAACAACAACCCCAGCAGCAGCAACAACAGCAGUCCCAACAGCAACAGCCACAACAACAACAACCACAAAACCAACAAAGGAAUCUGCAACAAAAUCAGCAGAAUCAAAAUAUGAAUCUCAACCAGAAUCGCAAUCGUGGUGGAGGUGGCGGAAGUGGCCCUAUGGGUAAUCAAGGAGGCCCAGGUGGCAAUCAAGGAGGUCAAAAUAGAGAUCGCAGCCGUGGUGGACGAGGGGGUCCAGGUGAUGGUCGUGGUAAUCAAGGUAAUGGCCCUUAUAAUAGGAGUGAUGAAUUCUUCAUUGGGCAACGUUUAAGGGCGAUCGGAGGCCCAACACAUGAACUGCCACCGGUUGAGGCUACCGAGGAACCCAAGUUCUCUGGCCGCAAUCGUUUAUAUGUUGGAAAUCUUACCAAUGAUAUUUCCGAAAAUGAAUUGCGAGAAAUGUUUAAACCAUACGGUGAAAUUGGUGAAAUAUUUUGUAAUGCUGAGAAAAAUUUCACUUUCCUUAAAUUGGAUUACCACGUAAAUGCCCAGCGCGCCAAACGUGAAUUGGAUGGCACCAUGCGGAAAGGACGUCAAUUGCGUGUUCGUUUCGCUCCCAACGCUACCAUACUUCGUGUAAAAAAUUUGACUCCUUUCGUCUCCAAUGAACUUCUUUAUCGAUCUUUUGAAAUAUUUGGACCUAUUGAACGCGCUAAUGUAGUUGUUGAUGAUCGCGGUAAAUCCACUGGCGAAGGCAUAGUAGAAUUCGCUAAGAAAUCGUCUGCAAAUGUUUGCCUACGUUUUUGCAAUGAAAAAUGUUUCUUUCUUACUGCUUCAUUGCGUCCGUGUGUUGUUGAACCAUUUGAAAUUAAUGAAGAUGAUGAUGGUCUGCCCGAUAAGUCGCUAAAUAAAAAAUCACCAGAAUUCCAUCACGAACGUGGUGUAGGACCACGCUUCGCCGAGUUGGGCUCCUUUGAACAUGAAUAUGGUACCAGGUGGAAGCAAUUGCACGAAUUGUUCAAAACUAAACAAGAUGCGUUAAAACGUGAACUCAAAAUGGAAGAAGAGAAACUUGAGGCCCAAAUGGAAUAUGCACGAUACGAACAUGAAACUGAGCUGCUUAGGCAAGAAUUGCGUAAACGCGAGUCUGAUAAUGAACGCAAGAAGAUGGAAUGGGAAAUGCGCGAAAAGCAAGCCGAAGAAAUGCGUAAACGGGAUGAAGAAAGUAUGCGUCGGCAGCAAAAUGAAAUGCAAUCGCGUAUGUUGCGUCAAGAAGAAGAAAUGCGUCGCCGACAACAAGAAAACACAUUGUUUAUGCAAGCGCAACAGCUUAAUUCAUUGCUAGAUCAGCAGGAAGGUUUCGGCGGCAAUAAUAAUGGAGGUAAUAAUUUCGACAAUUUUGGUCGAGCAUCCAACAAUUCACCAUUUGAAUUCAGAGAUCCAAUUUCGGCUCUUUUAGGCAACAGCGGUGGGGGUGGUAACGGUAACGGCAGUGGCAAUGGGCCAAAUAAUCCACAGGAUACGUUUUCAUUUGAAUUUGGUGGUGGUAACCAAAACCAAGGUGGCAAUCAACGCGGUGGUAAUAACAACGGAAACAAUAAUCCAUGGGAACGAAGAAGACGUUUCUGAGAUUCAGUGUCACCUUAAAUGAAUGUGCGUGAGCGAUUACGCUGUAUUUUUAAUGAUCCAGAGUGAAAAAUUAUGAAAAAUGAUUGAACAAUUAAUACUACUGUACUACAACCAAUUUCCACCCAACAAUAACACACAAUCAAGCAGUUCUAUGGCUGUUGGAACAUUUAUAAAGAACAUGCAUAUAAAGAACAAAAACUUUACUCAAAGGACCAUUGAUUGAUCAACACACGAUAUUAAAAAAAAAAAAAAAAACUUGAAAAUCAGCAAAGCGCGUACACCUGCGCAAGUUCUCAUGUUUUAAUUAAUAUAACUAAUAUAUUUAAAUGUACGCUUUUUUAAACGAUUUAAAUUCUAGUGAAAAAAUGUAUUCAAAACAUACAUUCUCUUUAGGCAGGAUAAGUUAUUUGGAAGCUAUAAAACGUGUGUAAUAUUUGGUUUGAAACAUUUUAAAUUUGUAUAACAAUUGAUCAAAGUUGAAAGCAAGAAAAUUCAAUUCUGAUGACGCUAGAAAGUGUAAGAUUUCACAACAUACUAGUAUUUAUUGAUAAGGCAUCAAACGUAAAGCAGCUUGAGCUUUAUUUGUGGUAAUUGUCUCAUUUUCACCGAUUGCGAUCUCUUGAGGCAUAUGCAACACGAACUUACUCGUCUUGACCGUAUUGGAAAUUAAAAAAA